rnacentral:rRNA from 1 species
CGAAGGGGGCUAGCGUUGCUCGGAAUUACUGGGCGUAAAGGGCGCGUAGGCGGACAGUUUAGUCAGAAGUGAAAGCCCAGGGCUCAACCUUGGAAUUGCCUUUGAUACUGACUGUCUUGAGUACGGGAGAGGUGUGUGGAACUCCGAGUGUAGAGGUGAAAUUCGUAGAUAUUCGGAAGAACACCAGUGGCGAAGGCGACACACUGGCCCGUUACUGACGCUGAGGCGCGAAAGCGUGGGGAGCAAACAGGAUUAGAUACCCUGGUAGUCCACGCCGUAAACGAUGAGUGCUAGUUGUCGGCAUGCAUGCAUGUCGGUGACGCAGCUAACGCAUUAAGCACUCCGCCUGGGGAGUACGGUCGCAAGAUUA